rnacentral:rRNA from 1 species
UGGCUCACGAUGAACGCUAGCGGCAGGCCUAACACAUGCAAGUCGAGGGGCAGCGGGGAGUAGCAAUACUCUGCCGGCGACCGGCGAAAGGGUGCGUAACGCGUGAGCAACUUGCCCGUAUCAGGGGGAUAACCGGUGGAAACGCCGACUAAUAUCCCAUAACAACAGACGGAGCAUUCCGUUUGUUUGAAAGCUGAGGCGGAUACGGAUAGGCUCGCGAGACAUUAGCUAGUUGGAGUGGUAACGGCACACCAAGGCGACGAUGUCUAGGGGUUCUGAGAGGAAGGUCCCCCACAUUGGAACUGAGACACGGUCCAAACUCCUACGGGAGGCAGCAGUGAGGAAUAUUGGUCAAUGGGCGGAAGCCUGAACCAGCCAUGCCGCGUGAAGGAAUAAGGCCCUAUGGGUCGUAAACUUCUUUUGUAGUGGAGCAAUAAGGUCUACGCGUAGACCGACGAGAGUACAUUACGAAUAAGCAUCGGCUAACUCCGUGCCAGCAGCCGCGGUAAUACGGAGGAUGCAAGCGUUAUCCGGAUUUAUUGGGUUUAAAGGGUGCGUAGGCUGUUGCUCAAGUCAGCGGUGAAAGCCCGGGGCUCAACCCCGGAUGUGCCGUUGAUACUGAGUGGCUGGAAUACGGAUGCCGUGGGAGGAAUGAGUAGUGUAGCGGUGAAAUGCAUAGAUAUUACUCAGAACACCGAUUGCGAAGGCAUCUCACGAAUCCGUCAUUGACGCUGAGGCACGAAAGCGUGGGGAUCAAACAGGAUUAGAUACCCUGGUAGUCCCCGCAGUAAACGAUGAUGACUAACCGUUGGCGAUAUACAGUCAGUGGCCAAGCGAAAGCGAUAAGUCAUCCACCUGGGGAGUACGUUCGCAAGAAUGCAACUCAAAGGAAUUGACGGA